CGCAACCCCUCGCAUUCAGUUGCCAUCGGGUAAUGCCGGGCACUCUGGAAGGACUGCCAUCGACAAGAUGGAGGAGGUGGGGAUGACGUCAAGUCAUCAUGGCCCUUAUGUCCAGGGCGACACACGUGCUACAAUGGCCGGCACAACGGGAAGCGAGUUCGCGAGGACGAGCGGAUCCCUCAAAGCCGGUCGCAGUUCGGAUUGAAGUCUGCAACUCGACUUCAUGAAGCUGGAAUCGCUAGUAAUCGUGGAUCAGCCAAGCCGCGGUGAAUACGUUCCCGGGCCUU
rnacentral:rRNA from 1 species